GUCCUCUGCUCUCCGCGUUUCCCUUAUUUCUACCGCGUCUGGAGAGUGGGAGACUCACUGAGAAACAGAGAGACAGAGAGAGGGGGUAACCGUGGAGUCGAUCUCGCGGCGGGGACUCCUCCGAGGCUUGUACGUCUUGCCGACCACCGGCGGCCUGUUCGCCGGUGAGUUCCUGCAGCGGCCCGAAGAGGCACGUGCUCGCAGUGGGAGGGGGGAGGCGCCGGAUCUAGCGGGACAAGUGCGUCAACAACGUGUGGUACCUUGCAUGGGGUGAAGUGAAGGCUGUUUUAUUAAUCAAUCAUCGUAUUAUGUGCACAAUAAGCUUUUGCUAUGCUUUCACCGUCGAUGCCCACUGGUUGGAUCAUGCUUCUGUUUAUGAGCUCAUUGAA